GGCGCUGGGGGUUAAUCUAGGGGCCGGGCUGCGGGGCCGGGAGGGAGGGGUCGUCACUGUCCCCGAGGGGGCUGGCUCUUCACAAAUGUGCGGGAAGUUCCAAGUCCCUAGGCUUUAACCUGGGCUUGAAGACGGGAGGUCGCCGGUCCCCGGCGAGGGCCCGCGGCGGGAAGCAGUCCCGGCCUGAGAGAGGGAGGCCCCGGGGGGUCCAGGCGCAGAGACCCGCAGGCCGAGCCCGGCCGGGCAUCGCCCCAAGCCAGGCUCGCUUCCCCUGGAUUCUGAACUGUGCCGUCCACGGCGCCUGAGAAACGGGCCCGCCUAUCUCUGUGCCCCCUCCUUUUCCCUAGCCCCUGCCUGGCAUGGCUGAAAAGGGGGCCAUUCGGCCCUUUGGUGCUUCCCAGCUUCCCUCUCCCGGCUGCCUAAGUUCAGAAUAACUCCGCGCUGGGCACGGGGGUUGCCGGGAGUGCACGAGGAUACCGGCGAGGGUACAGGAGUAUUGGGAGAGGAACUGGCCCCAGCACACCAACCCCCUUCCCUAAGUAUCACUACGGGGCGGGCCCGGGGCCGAUCUUGGGCUCAGGCCCACCAGCGUUUUCCAAACCUAGAACCCCCUCCCACAAGCCCGUCACCAGGCCAAGGCCUCUAGGCUGCCGGUUCUCUUUCCUAGCAGGCUCUGCCCUCUUUGGCAGCACUGACCUCACUGGGGCUGGGUCCACUCCAGGACGGCUCAUCUUGGCCACAUCACGCAUGGAAUGGGGUGCUCACAACCUGUACACUGGGGAGCAGCUUCAGCUGUUGGAAACUUCCCAUCCUGCCUGGGCCCUUGGAGCCAAGCAGAAAAAGUCACCUCCCUUUCCUCCUGAUGGCUCCUUAGAAAUGGGAGGCUCUGAGGACAGACAGAUCUGGUUUAAGUCCUGGCCUUGCCUUGGAUGUCCGCUCCAGGAGGUCCUGGGCCUAGAAGUGGGCCCUGCACAGCAGACGCUACAAGCUCAUUUGGUGAACGAAUGAAUGACAUCAUCUCCUUUAAAAAGCUAGUCCUGGGGCACCUGGGUGGCUCAGUUGGUUGGGCGUCCGACUUCAGCUCAGGUCAUGAUCUCACAGCUCGUGAGUUCGAGCCCCACGUCGGGCUCUGUGCCAACAACUCAGAGCCUGGA